rnacentral:lncRNA from 1 species
GGGGGGGGAGGGUGCUGCUGUUUGUUGUAUGUUUGAUUGUUUGUUUGUUUCUUGGGUUUCUGGUAGCAUGCACAGAACUUAUAUUUUCUCUUACUUCCACAGUGCUGUUAUUACCACUGGUCAAGCUUCAUCCGUUUCAUGGGCUGUACGACUUCAUUUGUUCUGAUUAUUUUGCCAAAGAUUAAGGAUUGGUUUUCCCAGCUUCUGAGAAUUUUGUUCCAGAUAUACCCAACCAAACAUUCAGUGGAAAAAAAGAAUGUGAAGGACAACUCUGAUUCAGCUGUCAAUCAUAUCACUGUAUAAACCAGGUGAGAAACAUCAAUGUUGUAGCAAUCAUGUCUCUAUGAGUUUUCCUUAACUUUCAGUUAUCUCAGUGGUUCUUUGCCACAGUAAUAUCUGAGAAGACCUACACUUACCCGCUUAUACCUAUAGUCUCAGUUAUACGAAAUACUGUUUCAACAAUGUUUUCUUUUAAAAACAGUUAUCUCCCUUUUCUGCUGUCCCAUAUUAUCCCUUGGGCUAUAUAAGCUUUAUGCAGAAGACAAUUUGGCAUCUGUCAACCAGUGCUUUUUCUCCUUUUUCUCUGAGAGAGGCACUAACUUCUUUCAAGAACUCCUUUCCAGGGACUUCAUACUGACUAAGAUAUCUUAAUCUUCACUUAAAAAAACCAGGCUAAAUUAUGUAGAUAUCAGUAUUAGCAAUGAGAACUUGUUUCUCUGCCAACCAGGUAUGUGUCUUGCAGUAGGGUCAUCAAAGAUUCCAACAUGCCAGCAUGAAGCCUAUGUCAGCAAAGCCUCAGGUG